rnacentral:rRNA from 1 species
CAGUAGCCGCGGUAAUACGUAGGGUGCGAGCGUUAAUCGGAAUUACUGGGCGUAAAGCGUGCGCAGGCGGUUAUGUAAGACAGGUGUGAAAUCCCCGGGCUUAACCUGGGGACUGCGCUUGUGACUGCACAGCUAGAGUAUGGCAGAGGGGGGUGGAAUUCCACGUGUAGCAGUGAAAUGCGUAGAGAUGUGGAGGAACACCGAUGGCGAAGGCAGCCCCCUGGGCCAAUACUGACGCUCAUGCACGAAAGCGUGGGGAGCAAACAGGAUUAGAUACCCCCGUAGUCCCUGUCUCUUAUAC